rnacentral:rRNA from 1 species
UGAUUAAUUAAAUAGCUGCAGUAUUUUGACUGKAHUAAGGUAGCAUAAUCAAUAGUUUUUUAAUUGGAAGCUGGUAUGAAUGAUUUGAUAAAGUAAAUAUUGUYUCAAUUUUAAUAAAAUUAAAAUUUUUUUUUUAGUAAAAAUACUAAAAUGAUUUUAAAAGACGAGAARACCCUAUAGAUUUUUAUAUUUUUUUAUUAAAAGAAAAAUUAAAAAUAAAUUUUAUUUAAUAAAAAAUUAUUUGGUUGGGGAAAUUAUUAAAUUGAUAAAAUUUUAAUAUUUUAGAAAACAAAAAUUAUUGAAUAUUUGAUCCUAUAUUUUGGAUUAAUAGAUUAAAAUACCUUAGGGAUAACAGCGUAAUUUUUUUGGAGAGAUCAUAUUGAUAAAAAAGUUUGCGACCUCGAUGUUGAAUUAAGAUAAAAUUUUAAAGGAGAAGUUAAAAAUUUUUGG